rnacentral:rRNA from 1 species
UUAAGCGACUAAGCGUACACGGUGGAUGCCCUGGCAGUCAGAGGCGAUGAAGGACGUGCUAAUCUGCGAUAAGCGUCGGUAAGGUGAUAUGAACCGUUAUAACCGGCGAUUUCCGAAUGGGGAAACCCAGUGUGUUUCGACACACUAUCAUUAACUGAAUCCAUAGGUUAAUGAGGCGAACCGGGGGAACUGAAACAUCUAAGUACCCCGAGGAAAAGAAAUCAACCGAGAUUCCCCCAGUAGCGGCGAGCGAACGGGGAGCAGCCCAGAGCCUGAAUCAGUGUGUGUGUUAGUGGAAGCGUCUGGAAAGGCGCGCGAUACAGGGUGACAGCCCCGUACACAAAAAUGCACAUGCUGUGAGCUCGAUGAGUAGGGCGGGACACGUGGUAUCCUGUCUGAAUAUGGGGGGACCAUCCUCCAAGGCUAAAUACUCCUGACUGACCGAUAGUGAACCAGUACCGUGAGGGAAAGGCGAAAAGAACCCCGGCGAGGGGAGUGAAAAAGAACCUGAAACCGUGUACGUACAAGCAGUGGGAGCCUCUUUAUGGGGUGACUGCGUACCUUUUGUAUAAUGGGUCAGCGACUUAUAUUCUGUAGCAAGGUUAACCGAAUAGGGGAGCCGAAGGGAAACCGAGUCUUAACUGGGCGUUAAGUUGCAGGGUAUAGACCCGAAACCCGGUGAUCUAGCCAUGGGCAGGUUGAAGGUUGGGUAACACUAACUGGAGGACCGAACCGACUAAUGUUGAAAAAUUAGCGGAUGACUUGUGGCUGGGGGUGAAAGGCCAAUCAAACCGGGAGAUAGCUGGUUCUCCCCGAAAGCUAUUUAGGUAGCGCCUCGUGAAUUCAUCUCCGGGGGUAGAGCACUGUUUCGGCAAGGGGGUCAUCCCGACUUACCAACCCGAUGCAAACUGCGAAUACCGGAGAAUGUUAUCACGGGAGACACACGGCGGGUGCUAACGUCCGUCGUGAAGAGGGAAACAACCCAGACCGCCAGCUAAGGUCCCAAAGUCAUGGUUAAGUGGGAAACGAUGUGGGAAGGCCCAGACAGCCAGGAUGUUGGCUUAGAAGCAGCCAUCAUUUAAAGAAAGCGUAAUAGCUCACUGGUCGAGUCGGCCUGCGCGGAAGAUGUAACGGGGCUAAACCAUGCACCGAAGCUGCGGCAGCGACGCUUAUGCGUUGUUGGGUAGGGGAGCGUUCUGUAAGCCUGUGAAGGUGUGCUGUGAGGCAUGCUGGAGGUAUCAGAAGUGCGAAUGCUGACAUAAGUAACGAUAAAGCGGGUGAAAAGCCCGCUCGCCGGAAGACCAAGGGUUCCUGUCCAACGUUAAUCGGGGCAGGGUGAGUCGACCCCUAAGGCGAGGCCGAAAGGCGUAGUCGAUGGGAAACAGGUUAAUAUUCCUGUACUUGGUGUUACUGCGAAGGGGGGACGGAGAAGGCUAUGUUGACCGGGCGACGGUUGUCCCGGUUUAAGCGUGUAGGCUGGUUUUCCAGGCAAAUCCGGAAAAUCAAGGCUGAGGCGUGAUGACGAGGCACUACGGUGCUGAAGCAACAAAUGCCCUGCUUCCAGGAAAAGCCUCUAAGCAUCAGGUAACAUCAAAUCGUACCCCAAACCGACACAGGUGGUCAGGUAGAGAAUACCAAGGCGCUUGAGAGAACUCGGGUGAAGGAACUAGGCAAAAUGGUGCCGUAACUUCGGGAGAAGGCACGCUGAUAUGUAGGUGAAGCGACUUGCUCGUGGAGCUGAAAUCAGUCGAAGAUACCAGCUGGCUGCAACUGUUUAUUAAAAACACAGCACUGUGCAAACACGAAAGUGGACGUAUACGGUGUGACGCCUGCCCGGUGCCGGAAGGUUAAUUGAUGGGGUCAGCGCAAGCGAAGCUCUUGAUCGAAGCCCCGGUAAACGGCGGCCGUAACUAUAACGGUCCUAAGGUAGCGAAAUUCCUUGUCGGGUAAGUUCCGACCUGCACGAAUGGCGUAAUGAUGGCCAGGCUGUCUCCACCCGAGACUCAGUGAAAUUGAACUCGCUGUGAAGAUGCAGUGUACCCGCGGCAAGACGGAAAGACCCCGUGAACCUUUACUAUAGCUUGACACUGAACAUUGAGCCUUGAUGUGUAGGAUAGGUGGGAGGCUUUGAAGUGUGGACGCCAGUCUGCAUGGAGCCGACCUUGAAAUACCACCCUUUAAUGUUUGAUGUUCUAACGUUGACCCGUAAUCCGGGUUGCGGACAGUGUCUGGUGGGUAGUUUGACUGGGGCGGUCUCCUCCUAAAGAGUAACGGAGGAGCACGAAGGUUGGCUAAUCCUGGUCGGACAUCAGGAGGUUAGUGCAAUGGCAUAAGCCAGCUUGACUGCGAGCGUGACGGCGCGAGCAGGUGCGAAAGCAGGUCAUAGUGAUCCGGUGGUUCUGAAUGGAAGGGCCAUCGCUCAACGGAUAAAAGGUACUCCGGGGAUAACAGGCUGAUACCGCCCAAGAGUUCAUAUCGACGGCGGUGUUUGGCACCUCGAUGUCGGCUCAUCACAUCCUGGGGCUGAAGUAGGUCCCAAGGGUAUGGCUGUUCGCCAUUUAAAGUGGUACGCGAGCUGGGUUUAGAACGUCGUGAGACAGUUCGGUCCCUAUCUGCCGUGGGCGCUGGAGAACUGAGGGGGGCUGCUCCUAGUACGAGAGGACCGGAGUGGACGCAUCACUGGUGUUCGGGUUGUCAUGCCAAUGGCACUGCCCGGUAGCUAAAUGCGGAAGAGAUAAGUGCUGAAAGCAUCUAAGCACGAAACUUGCCCCGAGAUGAGUUCUCCCUGACUCCUUGAGAGUCCUGAAGGAACGUUGAAGACGACGACGUUGAUAGGCCGGGUGUGUAAGCGCAGCGAUGCGUUGAGCUAACCGGUACUAAUGAACCGUGAGGCUUAACCUU